GCCCCCCGAAUUGUGGUCUAGAAAGGCGUUAUCGGCCGUGUUCACCGCUCAAAUCCCUUGGAACAGGGUAUCGGAGAAGGUGAGAAUCCUGUGCCGCGGUGCUGCAUGGCCGCACGAUGCGUCCUUGUCGAGUCGGGUUGCUUGGGAUUGCAGCUUGAAUUGGGUGGUAAAUUCCAUCUAAAGCUAAAUACUGGCUCAUGACCGAUAGCGAACAAGUACCGUGAGGGAAAGAUGCAAAGAACUUUGAAAAGAGAGUUAAAGAGUGCUUGAAAUUGGAGCGAGGAAACCCGUUUGCGCCCGGCUUCGCGCCGUCGACUCAGCCGUCUCGAAAGCGGUGCACUUUGUCGGCGCGGGUCUACGCGACUGUGCGCAUUUCACAACCACCUGGGGGGCUUCGGUGAGCCAGGACAUGUUUGCGCGCGGUUCCGUCGGACGGAACGGGCGCAACCGACCCGUCUAGAAACACGGACCAAGGAGUCUGACACGGAUGCGAGUACCCGGGUGGCAAGCCCGCGUGCGCAAUGAAAGUGAAGGGCAUGCCCUGCCAACCGACCUUGAUCUUCUGUGAAGGGUUUGAGUGGAGCAUACUUGUCGGGACCCGAAAGAUGGUGAACUAUGCCUGAGGAGGGUGAAGCCAGAGGAAACUCUGGUGGAGGCUCGUAGCGAUACUGACGUGCAAAUCGUUCGUCGAACUUGGGUAUAGGGGCGAAAGACUAAUCGAACCAUCUAGUAGCUGGUUCCCUCCGAAGUUUCCCUCAGGAUAGCUUGAACGCCACGGUUUUG
rnacentral:rRNA from 1 species